rnacentral:rRNA from 1 species
UACGUAGGGGGCAAGCGUUGUCCGGAUUUAUUGGGCGUAAAGAGCGUGUAGGCGGCCAGGUAGGUCAGCUGUGAAACUCGAGGCUCAACCUCGAGACGCCGGUUGAAACCAUCUGGCUAGAGUCCGGAAGAGGAGAGUGGAAUUCCUGGUGUAGCGGUGAAUGACGCAGAUAUCAGGAAGAACACCCGUGGCUAAGGCGGCUCUCUAGUACGGUACUGACGCUGAGACGCGAAAGCGUGGGGAGCGAACAGG